ensembl:lncRNA
AACCCAAAAUAGAUACCUCCCUCCAGCAAUGCAAAUCCUUCCCAGCCCACUCAAAAGAAAAUGUCUUCGGUGCCGUGUCGUCAAUGGCCAACACUUGACUGAUUACUCCCAUUCUGACUCCAGUUGAAGAAAUAUUCAAAAAGCACUUCUACAGCCUCCUGAAAUGAGAAGAUUGUCUCCAGGCAAAACAUUUGUGUGGUUAUUGAGUUGCAAGCUGAACUAGCCACUUUUCAUGGAAUCAUCUUUACUUGAAAGACUGAUUGACAAGCUAUAGUUAACUCAGAAUUGGGUAGCUGGAAGACAAGUUUUUAAAACUGGACAAGUAAAACUGUCUUUUCAAUAAAAACUAUCCUUUCAAAGAAUUUGUAGCCAAAGACAAAAUUUGAGCUUUCAAGCAAAUUAGAAUUUUGGAAAAUGUAUU